GACGAACGCUGGCGGCGUGCCUAAUACAUGCAAGUAGAACGCUGUUGCGAACGGGGGAGUAACGCUUAGGUACCUGCCUCAUCGUGGGGGACAACUAUUGGAAACGCUAGCUAACACCUCCUACUGUGAGAUUCACCUGCGUUGUAUUCCCUAGUUGGUGAGGUAAAGGGUCACCAAGACGACGAUACAUAGCCGACCUGAGAGGGUGGUCGGCCAAAAGGGGACUGAGGCACGGCCCAGACUCCUACGGUAGGCAGCAGUAGGGAAUCUUCGGGAAUGGACGGAAGUCUGACCGGGUAACGGCGCGUGAGUGAAGAAGGUUUUCGGAUCGUAAAGCUCUGUUGUUAGAGAAGCGGUAACUAACCAGAAAGGGACGGCUAACUACGUGCCAGCCGCCGCGGUAAUUC
rnacentral:rRNA from 1 species